GGACGUCCUCCAGUGCAGGGCCCUGAGAUGGGCUCCUCCUGCGUCGGGUGGCCCUGGUGCCAUGGCCGUGUCCUCCCCAGAGACAGAGGAGGGGACGCAGACCCGGAGGAGGAGCCCCGUGGAGUCCUUUAAUUAACCACCCCUCAGCCCCUUCACUGCAAAGUGACAAGGCUCUGAUCUGGAAGUUGUGGCUCCUUCCCUCUCCGCGGGGGGAAAAGCAGAUUCCAGACGCCCACCUGUCCCCAACCGGAGCUUGGGAGACCGCCCCGGACAUGGCCCUGCCUGGGACUGCAAGGCGACGUAGCUGGGCAGAAGCAAGCUGUCCCGGACCAGUGUGACUCUGGGUGAGUGGCCCUCGGCCCGUGUGCCCUGUCCUCAGGGCGCCGUGGCAGAGCGUCGCCCCUGGGCCGGGUCAGUGGGCUCCAGGGGCCUCCAUCAGCUUCCCCAGGUGUGUGGGUCACCUUUUCUUUACUGUGAC
rnacentral:lncRNA from 1 species